GAUGAACGCUGGCGGCGUGCCUAAUACAUGCAAGUCGAGCGAACAGACGAGGAGCUUGCUCCUCUGACGUUAGCGGCGGACGGGUGAGUAACACGUGGAUAACCUACCUAUAAGACUGGGAUAACUUCGGGAAACCGGAGCUAAUACCGGAUAAUAUAUUGAACCGCAUGGUUCAAUAGUGAAAGACGGUUUUGCUGUCACUUAUAGAUGGAUCCGCGCCGCAUUAGCUAGUUGGUAAGGUAACGGCUUACCAAGGCAACGAUGCGUAGCCGACCUGAGAGGGUGAUCGGCCACACUGGAACUGAGACACGGUCCAGACUCCGACGGGAGGCAGCAGUAGGGAAUCUUCCGCAAUGGGCGAAAGCUUGACGGAGCAACGCCGCGUGAGUGAUGAAGGUCUUCGGAUCGGAAAACUCUGUUAUUAGGGAAGAACAAAUGUGUAAGUAACUAUGCACGUCUUGACGGUACCUAAUCAGAAAGCCACGGCUAACUACGUG
rnacentral:rRNA from 1 species